rnacentral:rRNA from 1 species
AUACGGAGGGUGCAAGCGUUGUUCGGAUUCACUGGGCGUAAAGGGCGUGUAGGCGGAUAUGCAAGCUGGAGGUAAAAGCCCCGGGCUCAACUCGGGAAUUGCUUCCAGAACUGUAUGUCUAGAGAAAGUCAGAGGCAGGUGGAAUUCCAGGUGUAGAGGUGAAAUUCGUAGAGAUCUGGAGGAACACCGGCGGCGAAGGCGGCCUGCUGGGGCUUUUCUGACGCUGAGGCGCGAAAGCGUGGGGAGCAAACAGGAUUAGAAACCCCAGUAGUCC